rnacentral:lncRNA from 1 species
GCAGGGCCGCUCAUCCCACAGCGGGCCCAGCGAGACUGGCCCAGGCAUCCGGGCCCUGCCACGCCUCGCGUCCCUGAAGCCGUAACCGACUCCGCUGGGACGGAGACAAAACUAUGGCAGCAGCCGUACACCAGCCUUUCCUACCUCCUACCCCAAGAGCGAAGCGCAGAACCCCCAUUCCCCACUCACCGCCAGACCGGAACCAGGAAGGCGGAAGUCGCGACUUUCCCGUCCCGCCCACAGGCCGGCUCCAACCUUCGAGUCCAGGGUAAGGAAGUCGAGGUGCCAAUUUCCGGUCGCGGCCCUGUUGGAGUAGGCCCGGGACUCCGGCUUUGCAGGACGCGGGGGCGGGGUGGGGCGGCGCUGGGAUUUCCGAGGAGCGGCAGAUCAGUUGGAAAACAGAUCCCUGUCUCCCCUGUUGAAGCGAGACAGUUCGAUGCGUGGCUGAGGUCUUUGGGCCCUGGAAACUCAGAACAGCGACAGCGAGAAGGCACUUGGUAUCCCCAAACGCUCAAAGCCAAGCACCUUCUUGCCAACCACUGCUUGUUAGUUGAAUGGACAUCAGGAAAUGGUCAUUGGAGUUGAGAACACAGAAAGCUGAAGUGCUGCCAAAGUUACAUAGUCAAUACAGGAUGAAGUACAAACUCCUUAGAAGAGCCUCAAACUUCUGUAUAAAUCUUCAACAUGAUAGAGGACCUUUUGAGACAUCCAUAAUUCUAAAGGAUGCCACCUAGCACCAUGGUUGAGAGUAUAAAUUCUGCAGCCAAACAACCUGGGUUUGAAUCCCAGCUCGGCUGACAACAUUAUGAGAAUGUGCACCUCACAGAACGCCAAUUACAGAGAGCUUAAUUGGCCAAUGGCACCAGCUACUGUGGACUGAAAUCCAUCACGUUUGUGCCAAGACCUUCUCUCUCAGUGACUGAGCAUGGCAGAGAUGCUAAGACAGGCUCAAGGACGCACUCUUUGCCAUGCCAACCCUUCUUUCAGCUGCAUAGCAGUCUAGGGCACUUUCACUCAACUUCUCCUUCCCACUCUUUCUUACUUGGGGGUCAGACUUGCAGUAUGGUAUGGUAGCCCACCUAAUCUUUCUCAGUUUCCUCCCCAUUUUUUCUCACAGUUGUUACCUCUAAUAAAAACUUUGCACAAUUAAUCCCACCUUGCCAUCUGCUUUUGGGAGGACCAAGUGGCAAAAUUGGGAUUUGGGGCAGACUCACCCACUGCCCAAAAAAAUACCGUCCUGCUUGGUAGGAGGGGCACAC